UUGAAUAACUAGGGGAGCUAAUAUUUUGGCUGAGAUUGGAAAGAUUGAUUUCCUAGACUCUUAUAACCUGAUUUGGUUAAUACCAACGUAGGGAAGUAUAUUAAUAUUUUU
rfam:Clostridium sp. Maddingley MBC34-26 contig_126_1, whole genome shotgun sequence.